rnacentral:rRNA from 1 species
UACGGGGGGGGCAAGCGUUGUUCGGAAUUACUGGGCGUAAAGGGGUCGUAGGUGGCCAACUAAGUCAGACGUGAAAUCCCUCAGCUUAACUGGGGAACUGCGUCUGAUACUGGUUGGCUUGAGUGCAGGAGAGGAAUGCGGAAUUCCAGGUGUAGCGGUGAAAUGCGUAGAUAUCUGGAGGAACACCGGUGGCGAAGGCAGCCUCCUGGCAUCAUACUGACGCUGAGGCGCGAGAGCGUGGGGAGCGAACAGG